AUUGAACGCUGGCGGCAGGCCUAACACAUGCAAGUCGAGCGGAGCGGCGGACGGGGGCGUAAUGCCUAGGAAUCUGCCUGGUCGUGGGGGAUAACGUCCGGUAACGGGCGCUAAUACCGCAUACUAUCAGAUGAGCCUAGGUCGGAUUAGCUAGUGGGUGGGGUAAAGGCGUACCAGGGCGACGAUCAGUACCUGGGCUGAGAGGAUGAGCAGUCACACUGGAACUGAGACACGGGCAAGACGCCGACGGGAGGCAGCAGUGGGGAAUAUUGGACAAUUGGCGAAAGCCUGAUCCAGCCAUGCCGCGUGUGGGAAGAAGGUCUGCGGGUUGUAAAGCACUUUAAGUGGGGAGGCGUUACCCGCAGAAGAAGCACCGGCUAACUCCGUGCCAGCAGCCGCGGUAAUAC
rnacentral:rRNA from 1 species